UCGCAAAUACAUAAUGGGGAAAUAAUUACUGGGUUACAGUGUAAUUUUUAAGUGUAUCUUUCACUAAUAAAUGCAUGUAUCUUAUGCGCAGGGAGCUGUUGCAGCAUUAUAUGCGCUAUUAGAGUGGGAGAAGACGUUGCAAUUUAUUGGUGUUGUUGGCAUCGGUCAGACUAUUUAUCGGCGGGUUGCUUCAUACGAGGAUGCUAAAGAUUUUAGAGAAGAUGUCAAG